UGCCCCAUGGCUGAGUUGGUUACAGCGUCCGACUGUUAUAACUUUCGAGGUUAUACCUUAGCAAUCGGAAGGUCGUGAGUUCGAGCCUCACUGGGGCAG